rnacentral:rRNA from 1 species
UGCAGUCGAGCGGUAGCACAGAGAGCUUGCUCUCGGGUGACGAGCGGCGGACGGGUGAGUAAUGUCUGGGAAACUGCCUGAUGGAGGGGGAUAACUACUGGAAACGGUAGCUAAUACCGCAUAACGUCGCAAGACCAAAGUGGGGGACCUUCGGGCCUCAUGCCAUCAGAUGUGCCCAGAUGGGAUUAGCUGGUAGGUGGGGUAACGGCUCACCUAGGCGACGAUCCCUAGCUGGUCUGAGAGGAUGACCAGCCACACUGGAACUGAGACACGGUCCAGACUCCUACGGGAGGCAGCAGUGGGGAAUAUUGCACAAUGGGCGCAAGCCUGAUGCAGCCAUGCCGCGUGUGUGAAGAAGGCCUUCGGGUUGUAAAGCACUUUCAGCGGGGAGGAAGGCGAGGUUAAUAACCUCGAUUGACGUUACCCGCAGAAGAAGCACCGGCUA